rnacentral:rRNA from 1 species
GACGAACGCUGGCGGCGUGCUUAACACAUGCAAGUCGAACGGAAAGGCCUGCUUUCCCUUGUGGAUUGCGGGUACUCGAGUGGCGAACGGGUGAGUAACACGUGAGUGAUCUGCCCCCAACUUGGGUAUAAGCCUGGGAAACUGGGUCUAAUUCCCGAUAGGACUGCAGGGUGGUGCCUGUGGUGGAAAACGAUUUUCUAGUGGUUGGGGAUGGGCUCGCGGCCUAUCAGCUUGUUGGUGGGGUAAUGGCCUACCAAGGCGGCGACGGGUAGCCGGCCUGAGAGGGUCGACGGCCACAUUGGGACUGAGAUACGGCCCAGACGCCUACGGGAGGCAGCAGUGGGGAAUAUGGCACAAGGGGCGGAAGCCUGAGGCAGCGACGCCGCGGGGGGGAUGACGGCCUUCGGGUUGUAAACUCCUUUCGACCGCGAGGAAGCCACCUGGUUGGAAGGGUGGUGACGGUAGUGGUAGAAGAAGCACCGGCUAACUACGUG